CGAGGAAAACAGACAGUCGCGUGGGCAGGCCGAAAGGCCGUCCAUGAGGAAAGUCCGGGCUCCACAGGGCAAGGAUAACGGGUAACGCCCGCCGAAGGCGACUUCAGGAAAAGUGCAACAGAGAUAUACCGCCUCGUCGUCACAAGCUUCCUGUUUCUUCGCUGCGCCGCAAGCGGCACCGCGGAAUAAGUAGCGCCUGCACUUUGCGGCAGACGGAGAGAUAGGAAGCUUGUGACGACGAGGUAAGGGUGGAAAGGCGAGGUAAGAGCUCACCCGACGGCUCGUAAAAGUGCCCGUCGCUGUAAACUCUAUCCGGAGCAACACCGGUAUGGGAGCAGGAGCAUAGGCUCCAUGGCUGGCCCGGCCGCUCCCGGGGUGGCUUGAGCGCUCUGGCGACAGAGCGUCUAGAUAGAUGACUGUCAAAUACAGAACCCGGCUUACAGUUUCCCUCGUGCG
rnacentral:RNase_P_RNA from 1 species